GUUCCAGGUUGGGUAGUGGUUCCAGGUUGGAUGGUGUUUCCAGGUUGGGUGGUGUUUCCAGGUUCCAGGUUGGGUGGUGGUUCCAGGAUGGAUGGUGUUUCCAGGUUCCAGGUUGGAUGGUGUUUCCAGGUUCCAGGUUGGAUGGUGUUUCCAGGUUCCAGGUUGGGUGGUGUUUCCAGGUUGGAUGGUGUUUCCAGGUUCCAGGUUGGAUGGUGUUUCCAGGUUCCAGGUUGGAUGGUGUUUCCAGGUUCCAGGUUGGAUGGUGUUUUCAGGUUCCAGGUUGGAUGGUGUUUCCAGGUUCCAGGUUGGAUGGUGUUUCCAGGUUCCAGGUUGCAUGGUGUUUUCAGGUUCCAGGUUGGAUGGUGUUUUCAGGUUCCAGGUUGGAUGGUGUUUCCAGGUUCCAGGUUGGAUGGUGUUUCCAGGUUCCUGGUUGGAUGGUGUUUCCAGGUUCCAGGUUGGAUGGUGGUUCCAGGUUCCAGGUUGGAUGGUGUUUUCAGGUUCCAGGUUGGAUGGUGUUUCCAGGUUCCAGGUUGGAUGGUGUUUCCAGGUUCCUGGUUGGAUGGUGUUUCCAGGUUCCAGGUUGGAUGGUGGUUCCAGGUUCCAGGUUGGAUGGUGUUUUCAGGUUCCAGGUUAGAUGGUGUUUCCAGGUUCCAGGUUGGGUGGUGUUUCCAGGUUCCAGGUUGGGUGGUGUUUUCAGGUUCCAGGUUGGGUGGUGUUUCCAGGUUCCAGGUUGGGUGGUGGUUCCAGGUUGGGUGGUGGUUCCAGGUUCCAGGUUGGAUGGUGUUUCCAGGUUCCAGGUUGGGUGGUGUUUCCAGGUUCCAGGUUGGGUGGUGUUUUCAGGUUCCAGGUUGGGUGGUGUUUUCAGGUUCCAGGUUGGGUGGUGUUUUCAGGUUCCAGUUUAGGUGGUGUUUUCACGUUCCAGGUUCGGGGGAUGUUUCCAGGUUCCAGGUUGGGUGGUGGUUCCAGGUUCCAGGUUGGAUGGUGUUUCCAGGUUGGAUGGUGUUUUCAGGUUCCAGGUUGGAUGGUGUUUCCAGGUUGGAUGGUGUUUCCAGGUUCCAGGUUGGAUGGUGUUUUCAGGUUCCAGGUUGGAUGGUGUUUCCAGGUUCCAGGUUGGAUGGUGUUUCCAGGUUCCAGGUUGGGUGGUGUUUCCAGGUUCCAGGUUGGGUGGUGGUUCCAGGUUGGAUGGUGGUUCCAGGUUGGAUGGUGGUUCCAGGUUCCAGGUUGGGUGGUGUUUCCAGGUUCCAGGUUGGGUGGUGUUUUCAGGUUCCAGGUUGGGUGGUGUUUCCAGGUUCCAGGUUGGAUGGUGUUUCCAGGUUCCAGGUUGGGUGGUGUUUUCAGGUUCCAGGUUGGGUGGUGUUUUCAGGUUCCAGGUUGGGUGGUGUUUUCAGGUUCCAGGUUGGAUGGUGUUUCCAGGUUGGGUGGUGUUUUCAGGUUCCAGGUUGGAUGGUGUUUCCAGGUUCCAGGUUGGAUGGUGUUUCCAGGUUCCAGGUUGGAUGGUGUUUUCAGGUUCCAGGUUGGAUGGUGUUUCCAGGUUGGGUGGUGUUUUCAGGUUCCAGGUAGGAUGGUGUUUCCAGGUUCCAGGUUGGAUGGUGUUUCCAGGUUCCAGGUUGGGUGGUGUUUCCAGGUUCCUGGUUGGAUGGUGUUUCCAGGUUCCAGGUUGGAUGGUGUUUCCAGGUUCCAGGUUGGAUGGUGUUUCCAGGUUCCAGGUUGGAUGGUGUUUCCAGGUUCCAGGUUGGGUGGUGUUUCCAGGUUGGGUGGUGUUUCCAGGUUCCAGGUUGGGUGGUGUUUUCAGGCUCCAGGUUGGGUGGUGUUUCCAGGUUCCAGGUUGGAUGGUGUUUCCAGGUUCCAGGUUGGAUGGUGUUUCCAGGUUCCAGGUAGGAUGGUGUUUUCAGGUUCCAGGUUGGAUGAUGUUUUCAGGUUCCAGGUUGGAUGGUGUUUCCAGGUUGGGUGGUGGUUCCAGGUUCCAGGUAGGAUGGUGUUUCCAGGUUCCAGGUUGGGUAGUGGUUCCAGGUUGGAUGGUGUUUCCAGGUUGGGUGGUGUUUCCAGGUUCCAGGUUGGGUGGUGUUUCCAGGUUCCAGGUUGGGUGGUGGUUCCAGGUUGGAUGGUGUUUCUAGGUUCCAGGUUGGGUGGUGGUUCCAGGUUCCAGGUUGGGUGG
rnacentral:lncRNA from 1 species